UAAUACGGAGGGUGCAAGCGUUGUUCGGAAUUAUUGGGCGUAAAGAGCGUGUAGGCGGUUUGGUAAGUCAGAUGUGAAAGCCCUGGGCUCAACCCAGGAAGUGCAUUUGAUACUGCCUCACUAGAGUAUGGGAGAGGAGAGUGGAAUUCCCAGUGUAGAGGUGAAAUUCGUAGAUAUUGGGAGGAACACCGGUAGCGAAGGCGGCUUUCUGGCCUGAUACUGACGCUGAGACGCGAAAGCGUGGGGAGCAAACAGGAUUAGAUACCCUGGUAGUCCACGCCGUAAACGAUGUGCACUAGGUGUAGGAAGUGUUGACCCUUUCUGUGCCGAAGCUAACGCAUUAAGUGCACCGCCUGGGGAGUACGGUCGCAAGGCUA
rnacentral:rRNA from 1 species